UGCGGCCGGUGCUCAACCUGC
rnacentral:miRNA from 3 species